AGAGAGCAGCACAGGUAGCCAUGGUCAGUAUAUACCAGUAAGGUCACACAUCCAGAGAAUCCUGUGACAUCACAAUAAACACAACAAUAAAGCUCUGGUGGAUUGGGAAGUCACCGAGAUGACAGGAAGGUAUCUUUGGACUCAGUUGCUUUCCACCAUACUUACUUCACCUAAUUAUUGGUUAAGUUCUAGAAUCGGCCCAAUAUUUUCCAGAGGUUGAAUGCUUGAAACUCCCGUGAAUUUACUGCUAAACAUAAGAGCGUGUGCAGCCCUGCCCCAAAAAGGCUAAAACAGGACAAGAAUAGUUACAUAAAAGGCGAUGAUGAUGACCACAGGUGUGGAACAAUUUCAUAUAGUGAAUGCAGGCCAGAGAAGAGCAGUUACAGAGGAAGAGGGUACUCUGUCAAAAAUGGCAAGGUGAUAGCUAAUACAGAGCAAUUGAUGAGCGUGAAUUGUAUGAUGAGAAUUAAAGAAAUCGAGUUGAAAUUUAAAAUACUACAAGAAAUA